UACGAAGGGGGCUAGCGUUGCUCGGAAUCACUGGGCUUAAAGGGCGCGUAGGCGGGCCGCCGCGUCCGGGGUGAAAUCCUCCCGCUCAACGGGAGAACGGCCUCGGAUACGGGCGGCCUGGAGGGGGGUAGGGGCGUGCGGAACUGUGGGUGGAGCGGUGAAAUGCGUUGAUAUCCACAGGAACUCCGGUGGCGAAGGCGGCACGCUGGACCCCACCUGACGCUGAGGCGCGAAAGCCAGGGGAGCGAACAGG
rnacentral:rRNA from 1 species